rnacentral:sRNA from 12 species
CGCCUAACCCCUACGGUUUUCCAUAGGGUAUGGCAUAAAAACCAACGACGGUAAAAAGCUCCUAGUCAGAGCACCGUCGUUGGUCAUGCCUCGAAAGGGGUGUGGGUCCCGCAAGGGAUC